rnacentral:rRNA from 1 species
CCUACGGGAGGCAGCAGUGAGGAAUAUUGGUCAAUGGACGCAAGUCUGAACCAGCCAUGCCGCGUGCAGGAAGACGGCUCUAUGAGUUGUAAACUGCUUUUGUACGAGGGUAAACGCAGAUACGCGUAUCUGUCUGAAAGUAUCGUACGAAUAAGGAUCGGCUAACUCCGUGCCAGCAGCCGCGGUAAUACGGAGGAUUCAAGCGUUAUCCGGAUUUAGUGGGUUUAAAGGGUGCGUAGGCGGUCGGAUAAGUUAGAGGUGAAAUCCCGAGGCGCAACUUCGGAAUUGCCUCUGAUACUGUUCGGCUAGAGAGUAGUUGCGGUAGGCGGAAUGUAUGGUGUAGGGGUGAAAUGCUUAGAGAUCAUACAGAACACUGAUUGCGAAGGCAGCUUACCAAGCUACUUCUGACGUUGAGGCACGAAAGCGUGGGGAGCAAACAGGAUUAGAUACCCUUGUAGUC